ensembl:lncRNA
GUAGUUGGACCGCGCCGCCGGUGUCCGAGGUCCGCGCCGCUGCCGUUACCGCUCGCCGCGGCGCUCAGAGCGGUUUUGCAGCGUGCGGCCGAGCUCCUCCAGCGUUGCCUCGGCCUCGGAGCACCCAGGCAGAACAUUUCUGAAAUAUAAAGAUGUUCAUGAGGAGUUUCUCUGAAAUUAGCCCUCCGGCUGCACAAGCGAGCCGCCCCGGGGACUUCUCCAGGCAAGAAUGACAACAGGGCUGUGUCCUCGACCCCUCGAUUCAGUACCUUAGACCAGCAUCAGGGAACCUCCCACAGGGGAGGCCAAUCAGCUGCCCUGCCCCAAAGAAGAGUUUUUAGCAGGAGAGAGAAGAAAGAAGCCACAAAGUGACAAGAGUGACCAGAACUGCGGGCCAGACCCAGCCCUCACUCCAAGUCAGAGCCCACACAGGAGAGAGUGCUCAGCUGUGAGCAUGUGGAAUACACUUCCAGGUCACCCAGAACCUGGCGGUCAGGCCCGCUGUGUGACCAGGUGGGCAGGGUGUUACUCUGAUGGGAGACUGGCAGAGGGGCAGGGACUUGAGGCCAGGUGUGUGUGAGCUAAGGGCACAGCUGGAGAGAAGCGGCCAAGAGGGUGGCCUCCAGGAAGCCUGUCCCCAGCGCAGACCUCUGCACAGCUGUGGAAGGGCACCUGGGCAGCAGCUCCUCACCAAGCCACUCGGUCCCCUUAGCCACCUGGCCUCCACUUGAGUGUCCCCACUUGGGCUACUUCUCUGUCACUUCUGCUCUUUUUUAGAAAAAAGCAUAAUACAUUUUUUUCUAUUAUCAACAAAACUAAUACACAUCCACAUUUUCAAGUACAUAUAAGCACAAAAAAAAUGAGUCACCUAUUCCAGAACCUAUUCCAUAAUCACUGAUAACACUUGACUGUCUUUCUAGCAUUUUCUUUCUCCACUGUUCAGGUUUC